rnacentral:misc_RNA from 1 species
GAUGAAGAACGUAGCGAAAUGCGAUAAGUAAUGUGAAUUGCAGAAUUCAGUGAAUCAUCGAAUCUUUGAACGCACAUUGCGCCCCUUGGUAUUCCGGGGGGCAUGCCUGUUCGAGCGUCAUUAUAACCCUCAAGCCUAGCUUGGUGUUGGAGCAUGCUACCUAAGCAGCUCUUAAAAUCAGUGGCAGUGCCCUUCGGCUCUAAGCGUAGUAACUUCUCUCGCUAUGGAACCCGGAGGGUACGCGCCAGAACCCCCAACUUUCUAUGGUUGACCUCGGAUCAGGUAGGGAUACCCGCUGAACUUAAGCAUAUCAUAAGCGGAGGA